UGGGGAAUAUUGGACAAUGGGGGCAACCCUGAUCCAGCCAUGCCGCGUGAGUGAUGAAGGCCUUAGGGUUGUAAAGCUCUUUCACCGGUGACGAUGAUGACGGUAGCCGGAGAAGAAGCCCCGGCUAACUCCGUGCCAGCAGCCGCGGUAAUACGGAGGGGGCGAGCGUUGUUCGGAUUUACUGGGCGUAAAGCGCGUGUAGGCGGACUCGCAAGUCGGUUGUGAAAUCCCUGGGCUCAACCUAGGAACUGCAUCCGAAACUGCUUGUCUUGAGUAAUGGAGAGGGUGGCGGAAUUCCCGGUGUAGAGGUGAAAUUCGUAGAUAUCGGGAGGAACAUCAGUGGCGAAGGCGGCCACCUGGACAUUCACUGACGCUGAGACGCGGAAGCGUGGGGAGCAAACAGGAUUAGAUACCCCCGUAGUC
rnacentral:rRNA from 1 species